CUGGCUACAGACUGAGCAUCUACAACUGAUUUGAAUAGGAAGCACAAUGAAGACGGCCGUUCAUGCUUUGUUUCUUUUCCUCUGGCUGAAGAUGGACUGGGAGAGCCAAGGCGAGCAAGUGAAACAGCACCCUUCCUCCCUGAGUGUCCAGGAGGGAGCCACUGCCCUCAUCAACUGCUCCUACACAGACAGUGCCUCCGUCUACUUCCCUUGGUAUAAGCAAGAGCCUGGGAGGCGUCCUCAGUUCAUCAUUGACAUCCGUUCAAAUAUGGAAAGAAAGCAGACCCAAAGACUCACCCUGUUGUUUGAUAAGAAAACCAAACACCUUUCCCUGAACAUCGCAGCCACUGAGCCUGGAGACUCAGCCGUUUACUUCUGCACAGCAAGUACACAUUGCUCCCCAGGCACCUGCAGCCUGUCUUCAAACUUGCCUCCGGGGCUAGAGUGGCGCCCUUUUGCUGUGUCAGACAUUUCAUGAGAGCAUUUGUCACAUUGUUUGUGAAUGGAAAAAACUGAUAAAGAUACUAAAGUAUGCAAGAUAAGACCCAAGAUGACUCAGGAAGUUUAAAACAUAUUGUUAAUUGCUGCUUAAUAAUUACUUAAAAUUGAUAUUUAUUCAGAGUAUCUUGGUUUAGGCUAACAUUAGAAAAUGAAUAGUUGGGUGAGUAGAUGCAUAGAGCGACGUCUGAAAUAAGGAGUCAACUUGCAUCUCCUUUCUGUGUGAGCCGAUCCCGGCAUGCCCAUGUGUUCAGCAGUCCAAUAACUCUGUAUCGGAGAUUCUACAGGAAUUGGUGAUGUUCUGCUUAGAAAAACACGCUCUAGCAAAUUUAAAUUUGACAUUCAGCCUCCUAGCAUGUGUGAAGCCUUCAGUUUCAGUAUCACAAUCUCUGGCCCUCAUGGACUUUUGACUCUAGAUAAUUGCUUUUGCUAUUUUGGGGAUUAAACAUGAAUAUAUAUGUAUAUAUGUUGUAUAAUAUAUAUAUUAUACAAUGUAUGAAAGUGAUUGACUGUGUACCUAGAGUGUAAAUUGCUAAAGUUUGUUCAAACCAGAGUAAUAUGUCGUAUCAAUAUAUUCAGAGUUAUAUUGUACAAUGUCAGUACUAUAAUUAAACUACAGUGUAUAGUGGAUUUUUGUUAAAUACGUGAUUUUAGCUGUUCUUGUCAAACACCCAAAACGUACCUGAAAAUGAUGGGCAUAUUGAUUCACUCCAAUGUGAUCAUUUGAUUACCCACAUGUAUCCUCUACCAAACAUACAGUUGUGAACCUCAAGUAGGUGCAACACAAUUGAUUUAAAGAAACACAUCACAUCUUUCCUUUUAUGUUUCAUUAAAGAUCCAAGCUCUUCAAGAAAAUUAACUCGAUUUCUACACUCUUGCUUUCUGCUGCUGCUCUGUCUUUCUGGUGUUUGUGAAAGUGUGUUUAUCAAUCACCUUACUCUGCUCUUGUAGUGGAUAGAGAAGGAGAUGAACUGAGGUUAAUGUACAAAUAGCUUCC